rnacentral:rRNA from 1 species
GACAGAGGGUGCAAACGUUGUUCGGAAUUACUGGGCGUAAAGCGUGUGUAGGCGGCUUUGCAAGUCGGAUGUGAAAGCCCGGGGCCCAACCCCGGAACUGCACCCGAUACUGCUUGGCUGGAGUCCCGGAGAGGAUGGCGGAAUUUCCGGUGUAGAGGUGAAAUUCGUAGAUAUCGGAAGGAACACCAGUGGCGAAGGCGGCCAUCUGGACGGUGACUGACGCUGAGACGCGAAAGCGUGGGGAGCAAACAGG